rnacentral:rRNA from 1 species
AACGAACGCUGGCGGCAUGCCUAACACAUGCAAGUCGAACGAGACCUUCGGGUCUUGUGGCGCCCGGGUGCGUAACGCGUGGGAACCUGCCCUUAGGUUCGGAAUAACUCCCCGAAAGGGGUGCUAAUACCGGAUAAUGUCUUCGGACCAAAGAUUUAUCGCCUUUGGAUGGGCCCGCGUUGGAUUAGCUAGUUGGUAGGGUAAAAGCCUACCAAGGCGACGAUCCAUAGCUGGUCUGAGAGGAUGAUCAGCCACACUGGGACGGAGACACGGCCCAGACUCCUACGGGAGGCAGCAGUGGGGAAUAUUGGACAAUGGGCGAAAGCCUGAUCCAGCAAUGCCGCGUGAGUGAUGAAGGCCUUAGGGUUGUAAAGCGCUUUUACCCGGGAUGAUAAUGACAGUACCGGGAGAAUAAGCUCCGGCUAACUCCGUG